UUCAUGGUAACAGAAUUUCAACCAGUCUUCACAGCUUGAAGCAGCCAUGGCUGAGGAGAGUCUAAACAUACUGAUAUCUUUGAUAGAAACUCAGCUAUUCUGGUUUCGAAAAAUCACAAUUUUUCUAUAAUAUGAAGCGACUGUACGAAGAUUGGUUUUGGUUCUUCUCAUUUAAAAAGCUAAAAAGUUCCUGCUUCAAUGGUGGCCGUGGAAGAAAGCAUCAUCUUGGGUUUUGGCAGAUUGAAGGAAAAUUCACUUCUAAAUGCCGAAGAAGGAACUUUAGGUUUGGUUUUUGCUGCAAGUAAAUGGAAGAUGUUUUAUUUUCUGUUAGAUCUGGUAGUGGCUGUGCUUUGAAGCAAUGCAUUGAUGUUUUUAAAGGAUUCAGAAGAGCUGUAAGUGGGUUCUUUUCGAAGAUUCGAUCAUGGGUUCGAUUAUGGGUUCCUAAGCUUCCGUCUUGAAAGAUUUGGGCUUCAAAUUGGAAUACCCAAGUCAAGAAUUGGGCAAAUAUCAUUUCUCCCUUGGCCUUUUGUUUUUCGUUUGUAUUUUAUUGGAGAUUGUGUAUAGUUUCAGUCGCAGAGUGUACUCUAGAAUUGAGAGAAAGAAUUUUCAAUUAUAAUGUUAUAUUGGUGAUCUCACAGCUUUUCCUCCCCUGGUUCAAAGGGAACAUCAGAGUAUGAGGAGGACAAAAGGAGGGGUGCUUGAUCAGUGCUUCAAAUUAUGCCCCUUGAAGUUGCCUCCAAAUUUCUGGUCUGUAAGUAUUUAUCAAAGAAAUGUAAUUGUUUUAAGACAGUA